UAGUGGGAAGGGACAAUUCUAACCAGAUCAGCCCUUUUUUAUGAAUAGAGAAAGUAACUUUUCAAAGACACACCUCUAGUAGUUCAAAAAGAAUCAGAGCACACAGUCCUAGUCAUCAUUCUAAACUGCUCUUCCACUUCAGGCCAACAUUUACAGCCCUGGAGUGGGAAACCCAACAGGGAGCCAGGGAUAGGUCAGGGGGUAAUAGGCCGCUGUGUAAUGCAAAAGAGUUAAGACAAGCCAAGGCAAUUUCGAAAGUUUUUUUUUUUUUUUUUUUUUUUUUUUUUUUAACAAUCACACUCAAUUAAUGGCACAAUUUUUGGUCUGUAGUUUUGGCUUUCCAAAUACUUCCCAAAUGUCAAAGAUGUGAAUUAAAGGACAAAAGGAGGACGAUAAAUGUUUUCCUCAGCUGAAGCAGAAGGCACUCUUUUCUAACACUUAUUAUGGCUACCUCCGUGACUCACCUCCUCUCUGAAAAGGGUAAACCAGGUGUGAGCUUUGUGCCCAGGGGAAGGUCGAGCAGGAUGGCGUCUUACAUAAAUAGAAAAUGCUUCUUAAAACUAUUUGUAGAAUGACUACUGUACAAAGCUGUUUUCUUUACAAAUUCAAACUAAUGCUUAUUUGGAACAAUGUAUCUGGCACCCAAGGAUAGAGAAUAAUUUGGACCUAUCAGUUCUCAAAGGAACCUACUCUGCCUUCUACAGCCAGUUCCAAGAUCCAUUAACAGAUGGCUUCUGGCAGAUUCCACAGACCAGAGGGAAAGAGGCAAUCUCUAAGAAUCUGGAUCUCUGUCAUGCAUAAUAAAAUCUUUCUUCUUUAGUGUAAGUGCAGACAGUGAGAGAAAGGCUGAAUGCACUUCAGCCAGGUCUUUAAAUAGAUUUUUAUUCAACAUAAACAACCUAACACCAACUAAAUCUGCAUGCUUUCUCUGAAAGAUAGCUACUUUAGUCCACAAAAGGGGACGUUUUGUCAAGCCUCUCAGCUUGCAUUAAGUUCAUUAAAUAAACCUAAUCACACAACACACAGCAUAUGUGGGUAUAAGAACUAAAUGUUGGUUCCUCUCAUGCUCACAUCCCUGAGUCAUCGUGUUACAUCAUUUUGGCAGGGGAGUCUGUGUGAGGUUCUCUCCAGAUGGAGCGAAACCACACUGCAGGGCUGCAGAGCUUGGGCUUUUGGAGUGAGAAUUCUGGAUGAUUUUCCUUAAUUCUCUCUUAAGUGAAACACGGGCAGAUCGGUCAUGGCUUAGAAAACUGUGUACAAAUACAGUAUAGCGAAAUAAAAUACACAGUUAAGCAUUUAAAUCCGGUAUGAGAUGCUCAUUCUGGGUUUUCUAACAAAAAUCUCUGCCCUAAGUUUCCAGAAUAAAGUACAAGCAGUCAAUUUCCAGGUGAAGACCCUGGUGGACUGCAUUUGACCUGUCAUGCCGCCUAACAUUCAAGGGCAGACCCCCAGAGAGCAUUUCUGCAGGGGAUUCACACUCACCCAUUUCUCGGACCCCUCCAUUCUGUUGCCAGCUCAACCGCAGGUCCAAAGAAGCGGAGUCACUCGCACUACCCUACUUCCCCACUGUACACAGUCUCAGGCCGAGGCCCCACCAGUGGGCAUCCUGAGUGCACCCCCAUGUCAACACAGGCUACAGGGGAGUCAGGCAGAGAGCACGCAGGACUGAGGCCUGCAGCGGAGUUAAAGGGCUUCACCGAAGGGCUGCCAUCCUUUAAGGGGGCCAGGCUGUGAAGUUUAGAGUACUGCCGCACAAUGAGAAAAAUGAAGAUAAAUUUAAAGAACUUUUGGCUGGGGGUGAUGGCUCACACCUGUAAUCCUAGCUCUUUGAGAGGCUGAGGAGGGUGGAUCACAAGGUCAGGAUUUCGAGACCAGCCUGGCCAACAUGGUGAAACCCUGUCUCUACUAAAAAUACAAAAAUUAGCCAGGCGUGGUGGUGAGUGCCUGUAACCCCAGUUACCUGGGAGGCUGAGGCAAAAGAAAUACUUGAACCUGGGAGGCGGAGGUUUGCAGUGAGCAGGGAUCGCACCUCUGCACUCCAGCCUGGGUGACAGGGUGAGACUCUGUCUCAAAUAAUAAAAAAUAAAAUAAAAAACUGUUAAACUGUGGCAUCUUAUCUUUCCUAAUUUUUUUAAGUCUUUUUUUUCUUUUUCUUUUUUUUUUAAUGUUCUUACUUGGCAAAAUAAAGAACUGGCAAUCCUAUGCUGGCCUCCAGCAUUCUGAAGGAAACUUUACUACCCAGAAAAAUCAGAAUUCUGGUCCAGAUUGCAUUUCUUUGACUUCUCUUGUAUUUAAAUAUACCUAUUUUGGUAUAUAAAAGGCUUAAGACAUUUGAAUUCGAAUGAUGGAAUAUAUAGAUUAAAAAGCAGUUCUUGUAGCAUUAUUUUAAUAUCCAAAAGGCAAGUGCCAAGUAAUGACAGGGACACACUUAAAGAAAAUCAGUUUCACUAAUACCAUAGGAUAAUUAUGUCACUAUCUUCACAGGGCUGUAACAAGGACCAAAUUCUGAAACGAGGAAAGGACUUCAUCACGUCUGACCUUUACGUGUGUGAGCCAUUAGUAUUUUCAACAAAGCAAAGUCAAUCUAAACCUGAAAGUAAGCUAAGGAACAGACAGAAAGAUAGUUAAAAAGAAUUCACUUGCAGCCCUGGCCCUGACCACUUGAUGAGCAGCUGUGCCGCAGCAGGUAAAUUUCUACCUCUCUGAGACUUCGCGUCCUCAUCUGUAAAAUGGGGAUAACUUUCAGGGCCGUGAUGAGGCCUUCUGCUGGUGUAGUAAGUGCUCACCAUAUAGCAGUGAUUACUACUACUACUACUUCUGUUUAUAGGCACAGACAACUACAUUACUUAUCCAAAGUCACAAACUAGUUAGUGGCAGAGCCUGGAGCAAGAACCCACAUUUCUUAUUCUUACUCUAGUGUUUUUCCCAGCAUGCAAUGCUGUUGGAGCAAGGGUGGGGGUAGGUUUUUAACAGGUAAAACCAUUUCAACCCAAACAAAAUUAACAGCUAGCUUCCAACAGUAACAUAGAAAUAAAACAAAGAUUGACAGAUAUGUAAUUUUAUGGAGUUGUUUUUUGAAAUAUACUUUUAAAAAAGCACAUUUACCUGUUUAUGCUAAAACUAGUGAGAGUCAAACAGAAGGAACCAAGAUCAAGAAUUCGGCAUUACUAGAUAGAAAUGGUUUCUACAGGCCGGGCGCGGUGGCUCACGCUUGUAAUCCCAGCACUUUGGGAGGCCGAGGCGGGCGGAUCCCGAGGUCAGGAGAUUGAGACCACGGUGAAACCCCGUCUCUACUAAAAAAUACAAAAAAUUAGCCGGGCGUGGUGGUGGGCGCCUGUAGUCCCAGCUACUCGGAGAGGCUGAGGCAGGAGAAUGGCGUGAACCCGGGAGGCAAAGCUUGCAGUGAGCCGAGAUUGCGCCACUGCACUCCAGCCUGGGCGACAGAGCAAGACUCCGUCUCAAAAAAAAAAAAAAAAAAAAAAAAAAAAGAAAUGGUUACUACAGCUUCACUCAGGAAAUAAUAACGUCAACUUGCAAAAGCACACACAGAUUCAUGGUGGAUAAGUAUGCUUGUGAUACAGGCACUGCUAUGAGAAAAACAGUGGACCAGGCACGUUAGUUGUAAAUUUCUUUAGUCAAUUACUUUUUUCUGUUUCUCAAACUUUGAAAAGCUGCUCCUGUACUUUUUAAAAGAACUUGUAAAUUAUAAUCAGACUAAUUAAAUUCCAUGAAAACAAAAUCCCAUUUGAAAAUAUGAGACAAUUCCAUUAGACAAUUUCCAUUAAAUAGACCAAUUAGUAAAUACAACCUCUAAGUUUUUCAUACCCUUGUGAAUUUUGUGUAUCUUUUAAACAAGUUUCUGAUUUGAUUAACAAUACAAAAAAAAUCAACAUUUUGCUCAUUUAUAAUUUUACAUAAUAGUUCAUCAUCUCAAAUCCCUAAGGACUUCCCCUACAGAUCUUUUAUAGAAAGUUCAAGUGAAUCCCAUUUACUUUAAAAGGGCACUUACUGGUCAGGAGCAGUGGCUUACGCCUGUAAUCUGAGCACUUUGGGAGGCCAAGUGCUUGAGGCUAGGAGUUUGAGACCAGCCUGGACAACAUAGCAAGACUUCGUCUCUACUAAAAAUCAAAAAAGGGCUUGGUGGCAUGCACCUGCAGUCCCAGCUACUCAGGAGGCUGCGGCAGGAAGAUUGUGUGAGCCUGGCAGGUCGAGGCUGCAGUGAGCCAUGAUUGUACCACUGUGCUCCAGCCUGGGAGACACAGCAAGACUCUGUCUCAAAAAUAAAUAAAUAAAAAUAAAAACGCUCUUAAUGGAAACACUCUCCUAGCCUCGGAAUUACACAAUACUACCACUUUAGUGACCCAUCUUGGUCCAGGCACACUCAGGGACUCUUCCCUGGGCCAUGCUGUGAGGCUCACGAUCUUUCCCAGACUGCUGUCAUGAGCAGCACACAUCCAUAAGCCCUGACAGGGUAGGGAAAAACUCCUACUGUGGAAGAGACUCUUGCUCUAUAUGGAAUUCACUGCGCUACAUGCAGAUGAAACUAGAAAAACCAGCCUGGGAAGAACCCCGUGAGCUAACUGCUCAAAUGGUAACCGUUCAGGUAAGGCAACCACAAUUCUACACCACACCCAGUACCAUAUUUAAUUUGCAUUUUUCUAAAGGAACUAGAGGAACAAACUUAUCUUCAAACAUUCCAAUGACGGGGAAGCCUUCUCUGACCAGGCCUCAUCCCUAGCCUCGACUGGAGGCGCUUUCACUGUGCUCCCAAAUACCCAUACACAUCUGUCACUGCCCUGACAAGCGGUCAUGCAGCUCCCAGAAGCUCCGAUCCACUUCUGGACAGAGCCCAUGUCCUGUUUACCACUGAAUCCCCACUGGGUAGCAUAACACCCAACACACAGUAGGUGCUCAACAAACGAUCUGAUGAGUGGAGGGGAAAAGCAACUCUGAAGCAGAAACUGAAGUGGAGCUGGUUGGCUUUCUCACGCUCUGCAGCAGGCCAGGGGCCAUGAUCGUUCUCUGAACAUCCCACAAUUAGAAGCACGCACUGAGUACUAAAGUACUCCAGUACUCUAAGUAUUAUAGGCUACAUGUGAAGCAAACAAAAAUGAGCAAGAUAGAAAUUCAACCACACUCAGAGUAGGGAGUAUGUGCUCGGGUAAGUGCAUGUUUGUUAAGGGACACAGAAACAAACUGCUUGGUCUCCUUGCCUCCUGGUUUCUUCCUUAUUCCCAAACAUCCUAUGCAACUCUGCCAAACUAGUUUCACUGUUUUCGUGCCAAUGCCUUAUUAAGGAGUCUUUUGGUUCUAGGUGCCCAUACGAUAGGGUCCACUCUCCUUAGCAUGGCGGUCAAGGUCUCGCAGCACCCAUUCCCAAGUCCCCUAAGGAACCCUCCCCAGAGGUGGGGGGCUGCUCCACUGCUGCCAGGCUUAGAAAAUCCUUCUUCCUCUCUCCUACAUUCUAAAGCACACCUUUGCUCAUCCAUCUCACCCUCCAUCCACUCAAGCCCUCAGUUACCCACCUAUGGGUACCUGAUUUCUCUUCAUCACACAGUGCAACUCUAUUAUCCCUCAUUUUUAUAUACUGAGGUACGGAGCCAUAAAAUAUUGACAAUUCUGAAUUGAAUUUAACCCUACUUUAUUUAUGUCAGGUACUAAAAUAACAGCCUAACCCUCAUUUGAUGGUUUAACAACUCCCUGUACUCUGUAUAAUCCAAGACUGGAUAUUUGAAACAGGUAUAGUUAUGCUACUCAUUUUAAUAUAAUGUCCCCAACGACAACAUUUUAAAAACAUAUGGUACAGACACCACAAAUAUUUCCAAAAUGAUCUAUUCCAAAAAAGCAUGAAGGGAAGUAAGUUCUUGAAAACAAACCAAAAAAGACAAUAUAAAAACUGGAGGUUUAAUUUUCCAAUAAGACACUUUAAAUGUAGUACUGUUUUGUUACAUGACAAUUUUCAAACCAAGUCAUCUCAAAAUCGUACUGACAGCCUUGGAACUAUGACUGGUUAUAACACUAUUAAUAAAUAGAAUUACAUGAAAUUAUGCUUUUAAUUCUGUCUAUCAAAUCUCCUGACUACUCAGUUUCUUGGACCGCCCCUGGGGAAAUCUCUCACUUCCUAUCACGGAAGUGACUGCCCUUUAUUUUAAAGAAUGGGGUUCUCCUAGUUUGGACAUCUUUUAAGGGGUUUUCGGUAGAAACAACUGCUACCCACAUCCAACUUACAAAUCUCAAUGUCAAGUCCUCUAAGCAUGACUUCAUUAAAAAAAUUUCCCCUGCAGUUUCCAUUUCAGAUCCGCAGCUAUUCUCCUCCUUGACCCUGGAGAGUUCCUGUAUUUACUUCACUCCUGUCCUUCACCGAAAAGAGCGGUACCGGAGGAAUCAACCCCACGCCUGCCAGUCACCGGGUUGUUUGAGGUCAUGGAUAAAUACAGCUGAAGUUCCUCUGCCCCGUACGUACGGCUAGCACGAGAAACUUACUGUCGUUUUAGUUUUAACAUUCUCCAUAGGUGACUUUAAACUUCUUCAUUUCUUGAAAAUGCGUUCAAAAUAAAACUGCCCUGGUUGCGCAGGGAUCACACCCGCA